rnacentral:rRNA from 1 species
AUUGAACGCUGGCGGCAUGCCUUACACAUGCAAGUCGAACGGUAACAGGUCUUCGGAUGCUGACGAGUGGCGAACGGGUGAGUAAUACAUCGGAACGUGCCUAGUAGUGGGGGAUAACUACUCGAAAGAGUGGCUAAUACCGCAUGAGAUCUACGGAUGAAAGCAGGGGAUCGCAAGACCUUGUGCUACUAGAGCGGCCGAUGGCAGAUUAGGUAGGUGGGGGGAGAAAAGCUUACCAAGCCGACGAUCUGUAGCUGGUCUGAGAGGACGAUCAGCCACACUGGGACUGAGACACGGCCCAGACUCCUACGGGAGGCAGCAGUGGGGAAUUUUGGACAAUGGGCGAAAGCCUGAUCCAGCAAUGCCGCGUGCAGGAUGAAGGCCUUCGGGUUGUAAACUGCUUUUGUACGGAACGAAAAGCCCCGGGUUAAUACCCUGGGGUCAUGACGGUACCGUAAGAAUAAGCACCGGCUAACUACGUGCCAGCCGCCACAGUAA